UACGGGGGGGGCAAGCGUUGUUCGGAAUUACUGGGCGUAAAGGGCUCGUAGGUGGUCAACUAAGUCAGACGUGAAAUCCCUCGGCUUAACCGGGGAACUGCGUCUGAUACUGGAUGGCUGGAGUAUGGGAGAGGGAUGCGGAAUUCCAGGUGUAGCGGUGAAAUGCGUAGAUAUCUGGAGGAACACCGGUGGCGAAGGCGGGUCUCUGGGCCGAUACUGACGCUGAGGAGCGAAAGCGUGGGGAGCGAACAGG
rnacentral:rRNA from 1 species